UACGAAGGGGGCAAGCGUUAAUCGGAAUUACUGGGCGUAAAGCGCGCGCAGGCGGUUUUGUAAGUCUGUGGUGAAAGCCUCGGGCUCAACCUGGGAAUUGCGAUGGAGACUGCAAGGCUUGAAUCUGGCAGAGGGGGGUGGAAUUGCACGUGUAGCAGUGAAAUGCGUAGAGAUGUGGAGGAACACCGAUGGCGAAGGCAGCCCCCUGGGUCAG
rnacentral:rRNA from 1 species